AUGACAAGCCUUCCGCCUGGCGCACAGGGCCCAAGAUGGGAAAUGAGAAGUGCUGCUGAGGGCGUGGGCUCUUUAAAUCCCCCCUGGAGGGCUGUUUUUGGCUCACCUGGGCCCUGGGUUUUCCAUGGUGAGCUGGGAGGCUCUGUAACCUCUGCUCCUGCCCUUGAGGGCUUUGACCCCAUUCAGGCCACGCAGAGGGAAGGGGGCAGCACACAAGACGAGGUGGGGGCCGACCUCCCGCCUGCCAGCCCUGAAGUCCCUGCCCUCCCCAGGUCCCAGGGCGACAGCAGUAACAGUGGAAGGUCUCACUUUAGGACCCACCUCUUGGCGUCUCUGCGCAGAACGUCAAGAUGGUGCAACCUUGAAGAUGCUUACAGGAUGGGCUGGCCUGGAAAGGCCUCUGCAGUUGGCAUAGCUACAGUCUGGAACAUCAGUGACAUUCAGGCAGACUUCCUGGAGGAGAACUUUGUCCAGGGGUCGGCAGUCCAGGCCCAGCUGAAGGACAGCAUGUUCCAGCCAUCCUCGAACCGGAACAGUCAGGUAAGUUGUGUGGGGAAUUGAGUGGAAGAAGUUGUUAAAAGGGAUUUCGUUGUUGUUGUUGUUUUCUUAUAGCUUCACUGACAUACAGUUGACUUGCAAUAAUCUGCUCCCAUUUAAACCGCACAGUUUGGAAAGUUUCAACGUGUAUGUCGGGAAGGCAUCACCGCAAUCAAGACAGUGGACAUUUCCAUCAGCUGCGAGCAUUUCCUCUUGCCUCUUUGUAAGCCAUCCAUCACUUCACCCCUGUCCUCAUGCAACCCCUGAUCUGCUCUGUACCGUUAUGGAUUAGCUUGCACUUUCUGGAGUUUUAUAUAAGUAGAAUCCUACAGUACGUAUUCUCUUUCUUUCCCUUUUUUUUUUUGGCUGGGGGAAUUCUGGCUCCUUCCACUUAGCAUAAUGAUUCUGAGAUUCAUCCAUGCUGUUGGGUAUAUCCAUAGUUCGUUUCUUUUUAUUGUUGAUUUGUAUUCCACCGUUUGAAUAUGCUAUCAUUUGUUUAUCCAUUUCCCAAUUAAUGGACAUUUGGGUUUUUCCACAUUUUGGCUAUGAAAGCAAAGCUGCUAAGAAUAUUCGGGUCCAAGUUUUUGUGUGGACAUAUUGCUUUAAUUUCUCUUGGGCAAAUACCUCGGAGUAGAAUGGCUUGAUCAUAUGGUAGGUGUAUCUCUAAUUUGUUAAGAAGCUGCCAAACUGUUUUCAAAGUGGCUGCACGAUUUUAAAUCCCCAGCAGCCGAAUAUGAAAGAUCCAGCUGCUCCACAUUCCUGCUAGCGUUGGGUAAGGCCAGUCUUUUAAAUUGUAGGCAUUCAUAAUGGCUGUGUGUUGGUAUCUCACUGUGCUUUAAAAAAAAAUUUUUUUUUUUGUUGGAGUAUCAUUGCUUUACAAUGUUAUGUUGGUUUCUGCUGUACAGCAAAGGGAAUCAGCUAUCAGUUCAGUUCAGUUGUUCAGUCAUGUCCGAGUCUUUGCGACCCCAUGGACUGCAGCACGCCAGGCCUCCCUGACAAUCACCAACCCCCAGAGCCUGCUCACAGUCAUGGCCAUCGAGUCGGUGAUGCCAUCCAACCGUCUCAUCUUUUGUCAUCCCUUUCUCCUCCUGCCUUCAAUCUUUCCCAGCAUCAGGGUCUUUUCCAUUGAAUCAGCUCUUCACAUCAGGUGGCCAAAGUAUUGGAGCUUCAGCUUCAACAUCAGUCCUUCCAAUGAAUAUUCAGGACUGAUUUCCUUCGGGAUGACUGGUGUGAUCUCCUUGCAGUCCAAAGAACUCUCAAGAGUCUUCUCCAACACCACAGUUUAAAAG
rnacentral:lncRNA from 1 species